AUUGAACGCUGGCGGCAGGCCUAACACAUGCAAGUCGAACGAGUGGCGGACGGGUGAGUAAUGUCUGGGAAACUGCCCGAUGGAGGGGGAUAACUACUGGAAACGGUAGCUAAUACCGCAUACAAUCGGAUGUGCCCAGAUGGGAUUAGCUUGUAGGUUAGGUAACGGCUCACCUAGGCGACGAGCCCUAGCUGGUCUGAGAGGAUGACCAGCGACACGGGUACUGAGCAACGGUCCAGAAUCCUACGGUAGGUAGUGGGGGGGAAUAUUGCACAAUGGGCGCAAGCGUUAUGCAUGCAUGCCGCGUGUAUGAAGAAGUCCUUCGGGUUGUAAAGUACUUUCAGCGGUGAGGCGUUACCCGCAGAAGAAGCACCGGCUAACUCCGUGCCAGCAGCCGCGGUAAUAC
rnacentral:rRNA from 1 species